AGAGAGAGACAUGCGCGCAUAUCAAUAAGCGGAGGAAAAGAAACUGACAAGGAUUCCCUUAGUAACGGCGAGUGAAGCGGGAAGAGCUCAAAUUUGAAAUCUUCAAGGUUUUACCUUGACGAAUUGUAGUUUAAAGAAGUGUUUUCUGCUGAAGUUUUGGUAAAAGUUCUUUGGAAUAGGACAUCAUAGAGGGUGAGAAUCCCGUAUUUGACCAUUAUUUUCAGCUUUGUGAUACACUUUCAAAGAGUCGGAUUGUUUGGGAAUGCAGUCCAAAAUGGGUGGUAAAUUUCAUCUAAAGCUAAAUAUUGGCGAGAGACCGAUAGCGAACAAGUACCGUGAGGGAAAGAUGAAAAGAACUUUGAAAAGAGAGUUAAACAGUACGUGAAAUUGUCAAAAGGGAAGCGUUUGACACCAGUGUUGUUUUCUCGAAAAUCAAUUAAAAAUGGCUCGAUUUUGUAUUGCUUGAGACCUUAAAAGCUCACUGUACAUUUUUCGUGUCUUUUUUAACUGCACUUUUCGUUUAACAAGUCAACAUCAGUUUCUUUUGUUGUAAAAGGGUCAUUGGAAGGUGGCUUUCUUUUCGGAGAAAGUGUUUAUAGCCUUUGGCCUCUGCAAUCGAAGAGACUGAGGUCUGCAGCGUAGACUCUUCGGGGUUAGAUACAUUUGUGCUAAGUUAUAGCUUUUUAUAGACAACUUGUUGACUAUAAUUAGUCUUGUAGCUUACUCGCUUAUGCUAUUUUACCUACGCUUAGGAUGUUGAGUCGUAGAGCACGCAG
rnacentral:rRNA from 1 species